rnacentral:rRNA from 1 species
AGGGCACCACCAGGAGUGGAGCCUGCGGCUUAAUUUGACUCAACACGGGAAAACUCACCCGGCCCGGACACUGGAAGGAUUGACAGAUUGAGAGCUCUUUCUUGAUUCAGUGGGUGGUGGUGCAUGGCCGUUCUUAGUUGGUGGAGUGAUUUGUCUGGUUAAUUCCGAUAACGAACGAGACUCUAGCCUAUUAAAUAGACCGUUGGCUUACAAACGCCGGCGAGACUUCUUAGAGGGACAGGCGGCGAUUCAGCCGCACGAAACAGAGCAAUAACAGGUCUGUGAUGCCCUUAGAUGUCCGGGGCCGCACGCGCGCUACACUGAAGUGAUCAGCGUGCAUUUUGAAACCUACUCUGUCAAGAGUGGGGAACCCAAUGAACCUUCUUCGUGAUUGGGAUAGGGGAUUGUAAUUAUUCCCCUUGAACGAGGAAUUCCCAGUAAGCGCGAAUCAUAAGUUUGCGCUGAUUACGUCCCUGCCCUUUGUACACACCGCCCGUCGCUACUACCGAUUGAAUGUUU